rnacentral:tRNA from 1 species
GUGGGUAGAGCUCAGUGGUAAAGUGCAUGCCUAGCACACAUGAGGUCCUGGGUUCAAUCCCCAGCACCUCCA